AAAAAUGAAAAGAGAAUUAGAAUUUAAUAAUAAUAAUCAAUUUUGUGAAAUUUAAUGUUGCCAUGCAAUAGAACUUCAUAGAAAAUUUCUCUCCCCCUACAUAAUUCUUGAAGGGAAGUAGGCAGAUAAAGAUUACACAGAUUUAGAUUACAUGAGAACCAAAUAUUCACUUGAAGAUUCUUGUAUAACCAGACCAAAUAUUGUGCUUGAAAUAGCUGCCUAAAUACUCACAAAAAUCAACCAAUAAUCUUAGAGUUUGAAUGCUAAAGAACCCACAGGAAGAAGAGGCAAUGGGUCAACUCCGAAUCAAAUGUCAAAUUAAGUAUCUUCUUGACUUGGAGGCAGUUCAAUCAGUCUCACCGAGCGAGGAAGCAUAAACUCAGCAAAUAUUGGAUAGUGCGAGGAAGGAUAAUAACCAUCAAUAUUAUCAUUGACCACUUCACACAAACUAGGAAUCAGAGAUCUACCUCUAAAAAGAAUCCAAUCCACAUGUAAAUCCUGAGUUUGGCGAUCCCAGCAGAGGCAGAGUGCUCUCAAGAUCAACUUGAGGAAUUCAAGAGCUCCUUGCUUGUCACCUUUGAAUCCAUGAUAAGUGUGAAUGAGGGAAGCAUUUUUCCUCACUCGGGCAUUGGGCCACACAUCCCUCAUGUCACCCACUACUCCAUGCUCUCUUGAUCUCCCAAGAAGAAAACGUCCUGUAGUUGAUUCCUUUUGUGUGUUAAAUCCUCCACAGUACACAACUGGCAAGCUUGGAGGUAAGGAUGCAAUAUGUUGCCAAGUGAGUAAAGCACUUCUUCUACGGGCCCGAGGACUGAACUCAUCCAUGUUUGUAUUCACUAUCUGAAAUGAAAAUCCUGGCGGCUCAACCCCUUUAAAUUGGAAUGUGUGGACAUCAUGUCAAAGAAACAAGUCAUAUUUAAAACAAUCCACAAAUGCAAAACUUAGGGCAGGAGAACUCAGCAGACAAAUGAUAUAAUAUUUGGAAAACUAGUAGUUGUAACUUCAAAGGAUAUAGCCCAUGUUGCAAUACAUGGAACUGCCGCACCCCACGACAUGCUUCCGGGGACAGAGGGUGAAUCUGAUAACCAAAAUGUUCCACCUUCUAGUAGCUCUACCUUCUCCUUGUCAUAGAAGAUUGUGCAGUGUUCAUCUGAAGUUUCUUGAGAUCCUUUUCUUGAUAUUCCAAAUUGAUCAUAGCCUGGCAAGCCCUGCUGAAGAUAAUCCAAUUGCGAUUUCACACCUUGCUGAGUACAAAGGAUCAAAGGUGAGUAACUGGUGAUAACACUUAUACAUAAAUCUCUCCUCUUCUCCCAAGAAUUAGGGCUAUCUUCAGGCUGAUCUUCAUGAAGAUUAAAGGUCAUGACAGUCAAAGAAACACUCAUUGUUUUUCACAAGCAAAAAUGAAAAAAUAAAGCUUGCUCACUCAGCUUCUUUUCCUUUUCCUUUUUCUCUUCAACAAACCAACCAACCAAAACACGAUUACAGAUGAAAAGAGCUAAUAGUAAAUAAUAAGCUUAGUAGAUUCCAUUCUUGUGAGCUUAGAGAUGUGUUUGAUUUAUUGGAUUUCAGUGUUCUACGGCUGGUACUGUAAUUGCAG
rnacentral:misc_RNA from 1 species